rnacentral:SRP_RNA from 1 species
CGGGCAGGCACCUCGCCAACCCGGUCAGAUCCGGAAGGAAGCAGCCGUAACGAGCCCCGCUUGGGUCGUUGUCCAGCCUC